UUUUUUGGUCUCACCUUAUUUUUCUCUAACUAUACAAUAUUUUUAAUGAAAUCAUUUAUUACUUCUCAUUGUUUAAGAAACUGAAUAUAAAAUGAUAUUUAUGAAUAUAAAAAUAGACUCUAUGAAUUUGGUAAUAUUUUAUCAAAUUAACUUUCCGUUUAUUUUUUUUUAUCAUAUUAUUUGAAUAUGAAAAUUUCACAAACCAAUAUUGCAUUCUAAUAUAGUACUACAUAAUAAUAGAAAUGUUAUUAUUGAAUUCUAUGUUGUUGUAUAAAACAUAGGUUUCUAAGACAACCUUUAUCAUAACAUAUAUAUAUAUGUAUAAGUUUGUAGACAAGUGUUUGAGCACGAUUUAUAACAUCUAAAAUAUUCUUUUUAUACAAACUUACAUGAAUAUAUAGUCAUUCUUUUUUACAUAUAGAUUCAGUAAUAUUCUAAAAGAAUGCAUUAUUGAUAAGUGCUAACCUAUUUUACCAGCUACAAAUUCAUAUCAUGUAAACCCAAUUAUUAUUAAUGAAAAUUGAUGAUGAAAUUUAAAUAAUGUAUAUACAAUGUAUAUAUAAUAUUAACUGACUUUUAUACAAUUUAUAUAUAAUCUUACUAAAAUUGAAAAACAUCCUAUAUUUAUAUCAAACCAAAUAUUUCAUAUAAAACAACUAAUUAUAUAUAAAUUUUAAACAUUUAAGUAAAUAAAAAAUCAUAAAUUUAAAAAUAUAUUAGAAACAGAGUCAAUAUGAGUCUGUGAAUGUCUUGCUGUCAAAAAAAAAUAUAUAUAUAUAUUAGAAGUUUCAUUCAUCUCUUAAAAUAUUAUUGAAGAUUAUUUAUUUUUCUACCAGGUCAACGAAAUGUCGGGUCACACUUGAUUGCAGAUUUUUCGAAGUUUACAUGCUUUAAAUUAACGAGUUUUCAUUAAUCUAAACCAGUUUAUGUACAAGUCAUCAUGUUUAUCGGUUCGACCACGGAUCCAAACUCGAUAUAAAAAUAUUGUUCUCAUCUAAUUUAAAAUAAUUUAUUUUAAAAUAAUAGACAUUGAGUCUGAUCAAACCUUAUAAUGUUAAAAAAAAAUCAAAUGAUUAAAAAUAUAAUUACAUUAACUAACUAAAUAAAAAUAAUAAUUUUAUUUUUUGAUAUAAUACAAUUUUGUCACAUAAUAAUGGAUAACAAAACUAAAAUACUAAUUCAUAUCAUAUAUUUUUAUCAGAAAAAUAACCCGAACUUUUAAGCGCGGAUCAAAAUCUAGUAUCUCCUUAUAAACUUCCCCCAAAAGAUGAUUAGACACAAUGGAGAAUCUCUAAUUUUACGGAGGAGAUUCUAGGUUUUUGUCGGAACGAAUUUCACUCCUUGUCGCUAUGGGGAUAUAAAGAGAAAAAAAGCUCUCAGGCAAACCUUACCCAAUUUUUAGAUCCGAAUCGAUUUUAAAUUCGUGUGUACAAAAAUGUAGGGGCUAAAAUGAAAUAAAUAAAUAUUAUGGGUGCUAAAGGUAUAAAUGCUUGCAACGUUGAGGUUAGUAACUUCUGUCUUAACAAACUUCGCACGGCGGCUAAGAUUAUUUGUCGGGAAACAAAAUAAAGCGAAAGAAGCUGGUUUGGCUGCAAUGGAGAAACAACCGAACCAGAAACACACGGCUGACUCGUUCUCCAGCGAGGAUUUGAUCUCUCCGCCGGUGAAGAAGGCGAAGAAGUCAGAGGAGACCGGAUGUGAUAAUACUAAAGAUCCGAAAAUCCCCAGUGGCGGAGAAGAAGUCAUACCCGCCGUUGAUAAUAGAGCGGCGGAAGAAGGUAGCUCGAGCUGUAUAAGUGAGGAGAAGAAAGGAUUUGUCUUUGAAGCUGAUGUUGCUGAAGACAAAGGAGCUAGACAGGCAAUGGAAGAUGUUUCGUUGGUUUUGCCCGACGCUUCUUUGGAUUUCCCAGGGAAACUAAGGUGUGGUCAUUUUGCGAUAUAUGAUGGGCAUGGUGGACGUUUAGCUGCAGAGUUUGCUAAGAAGCAUCUUCACCUUAAUGUUCUUUCAUCUGGUUUACCACGUGAGUUGAUGGACGUCAAAGUUGCGAAGAAAGCCAUACUUGAUGGUUUCCGGAAAACCGAUGAGCUGCUCCUACAAGAAAGUGUUUCAGGAGGAUGGCAAGAUGGCGCAACAGCAGUGUGUGUCUGGAUAGUUGAUCAAAAGGUUUUUAUUGCCAAUAUUGGUGAUGCUAAGGCUGUUUUGGCACGAUCCUCUCCUACCGACGAAUCAGGGAGUCAUACAGAAGCAUGUAACCCACUCAAAGCAAUUGUUUUAACCAGAGAGCAUAAAGCAAUUUAUCCACAGGAGCGUUCUCGCAUUCAAAAGUCAGGUGGUGUUGUGAGCUCAAAUGGACGUUUACAAGGGCGUCUUGAGGUUUCUAGGGCGUUUGGCGAUCGUCAAUUCAAGAAGACAUUUAUGGUGGUUGUUCGCAUCUAACAAAAGGUAUUGAUUUCAGUAUGGUGUCAUUGCAACUCCGGACAUUCAUGCGUUUGAAUUAACUGAGAGAGAAAACUUCAUGAUUCUUGGUUGCGAUGGAUUGUGGGAAGUGUUUGGACCAAGUGAUGCUGUUGGAUUUGUUCAGAAACUCUUGAAGGUAACC